AAUGGGCGAAAGCCUGAUCCAGCCAUGCCGCGUGAGUGAAGAAGGCCUUAGGGUUGUAAAACUCUUUCGACAGGGAAGAUAAUGACGGUACCUGUAUAAGAAGCUCCGGCUAACUCCGUGCCAGCAGCCGCGGUAAUACGGAGGGGGCAAGCGUUGCUCGGAAUUACUGGGCGUAAAGCGAGCGUAGGCGGUUAGUCAAGUUGGUGGUGAAAGCCCGGAGCUCAACUCCGGAACUGCCAUCAAAACUGACUUACUUGAGAUUGGUAGAGGAAAAUGGAAUUCCUAGUGUAGAGGUGAAAUUCGUAGAUAUUGGGAAGAACAUCGGUGGCGAAGGCGAUUUUCUGGGCCAUAUCUGACGCUGAGGUUCGAAAGCGUGGGUAGCAAACAGGAUU
rnacentral:rRNA from 1 species